CCCCCGUCCCAGAGAGGGAGGGGGGAGGGUGAGCGAACGGCUGCGUGGUGUUUAGCUGCCGGCCGGGUUAAACCACGACAACUGUACAUUCUCCAGACUUGUCUUUCUUCAGCAGCAAAUUGUGUUAUGAUUCAUGGCUUUUAGAAGAGUGAUGGUUUAUUCAACCUAGCCGUGAACGCAGCUAAAGCUGGGUGGGAUACCUGACAGCUGUGGCUUGCUUUGGAAACUCUCCCUGGUGCUGCAGUACUGCGUCAGAACCGCACGGCCCGAGUUAGACUGAUCAGAAAAUCUGAGAUCAGGAAGACAUCAGCCCCAGCCUUAGUGAGAGGGAUUGCUAAAAUUAUUUCUGCCCUCUUUGUGGCAUGGAAGUAGAUUGUUACUUGGGAUUAUUCAGGCAUUUAGUCUAACAAGUUUCUUACUACCAUAAGGGACGUAAGGGAAUGAGUACCUAGACAGUGUCCUGGAUCUCCUGUGCUUGCUUCUUGUGGAUGCUCCAGAAUUUGUUGGUCUUGGUACUGCAGCCUUGUGGUGUGAGAUGCUAUCCUGUGGUUUCAGUGUGACGGGAUGCUUUUGAACCAAAUAUCAUGUGGUGGUGCACAAUUGGUCUUGCUCACCCUGGCAUCCCCUUCCAUUUUCAUCCCAUGUUUAGACCUCGUUACAGUACUUGUGUUCUAGCCUGUGCCUUAAAACCUGAUCUCUUUUGUGGUAGGUCUGUUGCAGGGAACAGUCAUUCCUGGAAAUGGGCUUGCAGGCUGCAUGGAGUGCUUGCAAGGAGACACUGCACUGCAGAACUUUUAAUUGUCUCUUUGCUUGUGAUUCAUAGUGCUGGCGUACUCGGGGACUCCUAUACCAGACACAAUAGAGCCAGCUGUUGCAAUUGCAGAAAUGUAUUGUUCUGGUAUUUUAACUCUCCAGAAACAUGCGCUGAGGACAUGAGCCUGUUGAGAUCGGUUGCAAGGAGGCAUCCCUCCUAGUUGUGACCACCCUGGUCUGUCCCUAGAGGUGGAUUCCUUUCUUUCAAAAUCUUCAGGAAAGAUUCCUCUGUCAACUUCAUCUCAUGGUUGUCUGGCAAAUCCAAAUAAAUGUAAUUAAAUAUUAAGGAAUUGGGCAAGCAGUGAUGGAGUAAAUACCACAGACCCUGUACAGAUCUCAGGUGUUUGCUGCCUUGAAUGCAAGUGACUGUUGAGAGGUCUCUGAACAGAAACCUGAAUUUUGCUACCACUGUGAGCAAGAUCAAGAUCUUUGGGGCUCAGGCACAAAGAAGGAUGCUGUCCCUCUCCCUGUCCCUCCACGGCGCUGUAAGAAAAGCAAUACAGUCAUCUGUGGGUUCAGGAGGAAAAAGAAGCAGUACAAAAUUUAUGUGUCAUUUGCCAUUUGGAUGAGGCUUAUAUCUCACCUGCUAAAGUCAAAGGCACACCCCAGUAACUGCACAGAGCACAGAAAUGAAACAGCAGUUUUAGUGUAAGAGAGACUUAAAAACAUGGUGUCUGGAAGAAACAUAUACCACUGAAAUACUUCUCUUCUAUUCCUUGUUUCACAAAAAGAAAAAGAAAAAAAAAAAAAAAAGGAAAAAAAAAAAGUGAGAUAA